rnacentral:rRNA from 1 species
GACGAGCGCUGGCGGCGUGCUUAACACAUGCAAGUCGAACGAAGAGCGAUGGAAUCUUGCUUCUAUCAAUCUUAGUGGCGAACGGGUGAGUAACGCGUAAUCAACCUGCCCUUCAGAGGGGGACAACAGUUGGAAACGACUGCUAAUACCGCAUACGAUCUAAUCUCGGCAUCGAGGAUAGAUGAAAGGUGGCCUCUACAUGUAAGCUAUCACUGAAGGAGGGUAUUGCGUCUGAUUAGCUAGUUGGAGGGGUAACGGCCCACCAAGGCGAUGAUCAGUAGCCGGUCUGAGAGAAGGAACGGCGGCAUUAGGACUGAGACACGGCCAAGACGCCUAAGAGAGGCAGCAGUGGGGAAUCUUCCGCAAUGGACGAAAGUCUGACGGAGCAACGCCGCGUGAGUGAUGACGGCCUUCGGGUUGUAAAGUUCUGUUAAGCGGGACGAAAGGCCUUCUUGCGAAUAGUGAGAAGGAUUGACGGUACCGGAAUAGAAAGCCACGGCUAACUACGU